UACGUAGGGACCAAGCGUUGUUCGGAUUUACUGGGCGUAAAGGGCGCGUAGGCGGCUUUGUAAGUCACUUGUGAAAUCUCCGGGCUUAACUCGGAACGGCCAGGUGAUACUGCAAUGCUAGAGUGCAGAAGGGGCAAUCGGAAUUCUUGGUGUAGCGGUGAAAUGCGUAGAUAUCAAGAGGAACACCUGAGGUGAAGACGGGUUGCUGGGCUGACACUGACGCUGAUGCGCGAAAGCCAGGGGAGCAAACGGG
rnacentral:rRNA from 1 species